rnacentral:rRNA from 1 species
AACGAACGCUGGCGGCAGGCUUAACACAUGCAAGUCGAGCGCCCCGCAAGGGAAGCGGCAGACGGGUGAGUAACGCGUGGGAAUCUACCGUACCCUACGGAAUAGCUCCGGGAAACUGGAAUUAAUACCGUAUACGCCCUACGGGGGAAAGAUUUAUCGGGGUAUGAUGAGCCCGCGUUGGAUUAGCUAGUUGGUGGGGUAAAGGCCUACCAAGGCGACGAUCCAUAGCUGGUCUGAGAGGAUGAUCAGCCACAUUGGGACUGAGACACGGCCCAAACUCCUACGGGAGGCAGCAGUGGGGAAUAUUGGACAAUGGGCGCAAGCCUGAUCCAGCCAUGCCGCGUGAGUGAUGAAAGCCUUAGGGUUGUAAAGCUCUUUCACCGGAGAAGAUAAUGACGGUAUCCGGAGAAGAAGCCCCGGCUAACUUCGUGCCAGCAGCCGCAGUAACAC